rnacentral:piRNA from 1 species
UCUGAUGCCAACUAGAGCCAAAGGUCUCAUU